rnacentral:rRNA from 1 species
UACAGAGGGGGCAAGCGUUGUUCGGAAUUACUGGGCGUAAAGGGCGCGUAGGCGGCCGCCUAAGUCAGACGUGAAAUCCCUCGGCUCAACCGGGGAACUGCGUCUGAUACUGAUUGGCUUGAAUUCGGGAGAGGAUAGCGGAAUUCCCAGUGUAGAGGUGAAAUUCGUAGAUAUGGGGAGGAACACCGGUGGCGAAGGCGGCCAUCUGGACGGAUACUGACGCUGAGACGCGAAAGCGUGGGGAGCAAACAGG